rnacentral:rRNA from 1 species
UACGUAGGGGGCAAGCGUUGUCCGGAUUUCUUGGGCGUAAAGCGCGUGUAGGCGGCCAGGUGGGUCGGGUGUGAAAAUUGGAGGCUCAACCUCCAGACGUCGAUCGAAACCAUCUGGCUAGAGUCCGGAAGAGGAGAAUGGAAUUCCCGGUGUAGCGGUGAAAUGCGUAGAUAUCGGGAGGAACAUCAGUGGCGAAGGCGGCCUUCUGGUCCAGUACUGACACUCAAGUGCGAAAGCGUGGGGAGCAAACAGG